UACGUAGGGUGCGAGCGUUAAUCGGAAUUACUGGGCGUAAAGCGUGCGCAGGCGGUUUUGUAAGUCAGAUGUGAAAUCCCCGGGCUUAACCUGGGAACUGCGUUUGAAACUACAAGGCUAGAGUGUAGCAGAGGGGGGUGGAAUUCCACGUGUAGCAGUGAAAUGCGUUGAGAUGUGGAGGAACACCGAUGGCGAAGGCAGCCCCCUGGGUUAACACUGACGCUCAGGCACGAAAGCGUGGGGAGCAAACAGG
rnacentral:rRNA from 1 species